GUUGGAUUCGGAAAAAGUUGCAAUGAAGGACAUGUGUUUCCUGUGUAACGACACAAAGUGCCCAGAGGUGACGAAAUGUUUUGAUCAUAAUGGUGACCUGAACCAGAAUCUGCUGACGAUGCCAGGUCCUUUCCAGCAAUGCACAUCCACCCCCUAUCCUCCUUCUGGGAGGUGCACCAUUUGUAGUCUGGAUUAUUAUUACACUGUGUGCAGAAACGUCUCAGAGAGCAUCCAGCCUGCCCUGGAGGCCAACAGCACAGCCAUUACCAACUAUGAACAAGCCAAUUGCCCUGUCAUCGGCAUCGCACCAACUACUGUGAAUGGUGAGUCAUUGAUUCAAACAUUCUGUAUUAUUUUCACAAACUGGCUGUAGAGAAUGUUAUGGUCAUUUUACACAGCACUAUUUAUGCAGAAUCCCUUGCUGAGUUGAACACUAAGGCCGGGAUUCAGUCUGAUUGAGCUUUGCCCACAAUGCACGUUUUUAAAGGCAAUGUUUCUGCCUUAGUGGAGAUCACAUUCACGGUGGCUCAAUUGAAAAUGACCUUAAAAUGGAGCAUUAUCCAAAUUGACACUCAGAUUGAUUCCCAUCCUAGCUUUGUUAGUGAGACUUAAUUGUCCUGUGUACAGUUGAGUGAAUCCCUAACAAAGACAUCUGCAGUCUGGCUAUUGAGUUGUUUGUCUUGGUGGCAGGUUCAGACUUCACUGGAGCUGCUGCUCAAUAUGGACAUCCUGGUGAGUGCAGAAAUACACAGCGCAGCAAUGCUGCUCAACACUGACAAUUUCCCUCUGACAGACUAAUCUACUCCUCAGUGGCUUUGCAACUGUUACCGUCUCCCUUUUGUAAUUGUAUUAAUCCUUUGAUUGAUCAUUGCUUUAUGAUUCCUCAUUGUAAAUCAUUUGUCCUCCAAUUGUAAUAUGAUACAUACUUAUUCAAUAACUGUGUGUUUUUAUCUGUUGUUCUUAAGGGGGUGAACUGUGGUGGUGUUUACUGAUCCUCGUCCUGGUCAUUGUUUGCAUUGGCAUCAUUGCUUACAGGUGUAUCAAAAAGCGCAAAAUAGAAAACCUUGUCAUAUAAGGGUGAGUGUGUUCUCUAUCAGGCUGUAACAACAGACUUGCCUAUAUAUUAUAAAGUCACUGAGGACCUGACCACCAGACAUUCGUAGAUACUGUGAUUGUCACUGAGGACCUGACCAUCAGACAUUCAUAGAUACUGUGAUUGUCACUGAGGACCUGACCACCAGACAUUUGUAGAUACUGUGAUUGUCACUGAGGACCUGACCACCAGACAUUNNNNNNNNNNNNNNNNNNNNNNNNNNNNNNNNNNNNNNNNNGGGACAGCACUCAGGACUACCCAUCCCUUAACCAAGCUAUUUGGACCCAACCACCAGAGACGGGGACAGCACUCAGGACUACCCAUCCCUUAACCAAGCUAUUUGGACCCAACCACCAGAGACGGGGACAGCACUCAGGACUACCCAAACCCCCAGAUCAGGAUGCUGCUGCAUUAUCUCUGCCUUAAUUCCAUCACUUUAACUCUUCUUAAAGUUGUAAUCUUUUAAUACAUUUUCACAUUCAGAUUCUUGUCAAUCAGUACCAUUAAACCAGUGCCUUGGAUAAUUUUUGGUCCUCUAAUACUGACACCAGUCUAUUAAAGCCUACUCUUAUUCUUAGGAAUAAGUAUGGAAAAACAAAUGUUUUACCCAUGACGCAUCUACCAGGGUAUUUUGAAUGGGGAAAAAAAGGAAAAUAUGGCCAGUUAUUAAUCAAGCAGAGANNNNNNNNNNGGACAGCACUCAGGACUACCCAUCCCUUAACCAAGCUAUUUGGACCCAACCACCAGAGACGGGGACAGCACUCAGGACUACCCAUCCCUUAACCAAGCUAUUUGGACCCAACCACCAGAGACGGGGACAGCACUCAGGACUACCCAAACCCCCAGAUCAGGAUGCUGCUGCAUUAUCUCUGCCUUAAUUCCAUCACUUUAACUCUUCUUAAAGUUGUAAUCUUUUAAUACAUUUUCACAUUCAGAUUCUUGUCAAUCAGUACCAUUAAACCAGUGCCUUGGAUAAUUUUUGGUCCUCUAAUACUGACACCAGUCUAUUAAAGCCUACUCUUAUUCUUAGGAAUAAGUAUGGAAAAACAAAUGUUUUACCCAUGACGCAUCUACCAGGGUAUUUUGAAUGGGGAAAAAAAGGAAAAUAUGGCCAGUUAUUAAUCAAGCAGAGAUGAGCUUAUUCUAAAGUUGAUGGCCUUUAUCCCACCAAUUAAUUAUAAUUUACACAUGUUCUAUAACAACCAUUACACUUCUGGUCUGCACAUGGUUGAGGGAGGAAUGUAGUGAUUUAUAAUACAAGUUAUUACCAUCAAGAUGAUCAAGAAGUUUGGCUUGGAAAGACUAAUGAUUACACCCUAGAUCAGCUAGAUGCAGGCAAGGGGUAAACAUGACUAUGCACGUAUAAUAAACAGCGAGUGGCAGCAGUGCAAAAACAAUGGGGGGGGGGUGUGUAUCAAUGCAAUUAGUCCGGUUGGCCAUUUGAUUAAUUGUUCAGCAGUCUUCUGACUUGUGGGUAGAAGCUGUAAAGGAGCCUUUUGGACCUAGACUUGGCGCUCCGGUACCACUUGCCGUGCGGUAGCAGAGGAAACAGUCUAUGACUUGGGUGACUGGAGACUUGGACAAUUUUUGGGACCUUCCUCUGACACUGCCUAGUAUAUACAGUUGAAGUCAGAAGUUUACAUACACCUUAGCCAAAUACAUUUAAACUCAUUUCACAAUUCCUGACAUUAUUCCUAGUAAAAUUCCCUGUCAUUUCGGAGGACCACUUUAUUUUAAGAAUGUGAAAUAUGAGAAUAAUAGUAGAGAAUUAUUUAUUUCAGCUUCUAUUUCUUUCAUCACAUUCCCUGUGGGUCAGAAGUUUACAUACACUCAAUUAGUAUUUGGUAGCAUUGCCUUUAAAUUGCUUAACUUGGGUCAAACGUUUCAACAAUAAGUUGGGUGAAUUCUGGCCCAUUCCUCCUGACAGAGCUGGUGUAACUGAGUCAGGUUUGUAGGCCUCCUUGCUCGCAUACACUUUUUCAGUUCUGCCCACAAAUGUUCUAUAGGAUUGAGGUCAGGGCUUGGUGAUGGUCACUCCAAUACCUUGACUUUGUUGUCCUUAAGCCAUUUUGCCACAACUUUGGAAGUAUUCUUGGGGUCAUUGUCCAUUUGGAAGACUGAUUUGCGCCCAAGCUUUAAC
rnacentral:lncRNA from 13 species